AUGGCCGUUAGUGCCACGGCCCCAUCUGUCUUCCCCCUGACCUCCUGCACCGGCGAAGUCACCACCUCCCCGGUCACCUUCGGCUGCCUGGCCCAAGGCUACUUCCCCGAGCCGGUCACCGUGACAUGGAGCCCCAACGUCGGCUCCUCGGGCGUGAGGACCUAUCCCUCCGUGCUGCAACCUUCCAGCGGCCUCUACUCGCUCAGCAGCCAGGUCACCGUCCCGGCCACCAGCUGGGAGUCUAACACCUAUCGAUGCACCGUAGAGCACCAGCCCACCAGCUCCAGCAUCUCCAAGGAAAUCCCAAAGCCCCCCAAACCCAUGGUGGAACUCUUCUACUCCUGCACCGACUCAGGCGCCAUCCAGGCCGUGUGUUUGAUCUCCCACUUCAACAGCGCGGAUUUGACAGUGGAUUGGAUAGUGAAUUUCCAGAUACAAAAGGGUGACAUUGACCAGCCCACAAAGGACGCCAACGGCCAGACCUUCAGCACCCGCAGCCGUUUCACUGUGACCGAGUGGCCGGGUGACUCUCCCCUCAUCUGCCAGGUGUCCCAGCCGGGCACCUCCAUGAAAUUGCAGGCCCACGCCCAGAAAUGCCAAGAGCCCCAUGAACCCCAUGAACCCCAGGCCCCCAUUACACCCAAGGUGAAAAUCGUCUCCAACACCAACCGAGACCCCGUCCAGCUCACGUGCUUAAUCUCCGGCUUCUACCCUGAGACUCUGACGGUGGAAUGGCUGGUUGACGGGCAGCCCAGGAAACUUCCUGGUGACACCGCCCUUACCACAAAGGACGCCAACGGCCCCACCUACAGCACCCGCAGCAAUGUCACUGUCUCCAAGGCCGAUUGGCGGAAGGUCAAGUUAUACACGUGCCAGGUGUCCCAGCCGGGCACCUCCAUCAAAUCGCAGGGCCACACCAACAAGUGCGGAGAAGAAACAACGUCUCCCAGCAACAUCCAAGUCUUCCUGGUGCCCCCGUCUCCUGCCGACUUGUAUGUGAACCAGAGCCCCAUGCUCUCCUGCCUGGUGGUCAACCUGCCUAGCAACUGCAGCCUCCAGGUGGUCUGGUCCCGAGAGAAGCCGGGCUCCAUUGUCCCUGAACCCCUGACCCUCACUGAGCAGUUCAACAGCACCAUCACCGCCUCCAGCUCCAUGCCCAUCCUCACCCGCGACUGGGAGGCCGGAGUGACCUUCACCUGUGAAGUGAACCACUCAGAGCUGCCCUCACCCCUCAUCAAAUCGAUCUCCAAGAAGACAGGCAGGCGCUCUGCCCCUGGCAUCUACCUCCUGCACCCCCACAACGAGGAGCUGAGCAGCUCCGAAGACUCCGUCAGCCUCACCUGCCUGGUGCGGGGCUUCUUCCCCGAGGACAUCUCGGUGCAGUGGAUGAAGAACCACAAACCCAGAGAGAGUUUGGAAUAUAUCACCACCCAGCCCAUCAAGGACAGAGCCGGCGACUCAAACUUCUUCCUCUACAGCAAGCUGACAGCCAGCAAGGCCAGCUGGAACAGAGGGGACAUCUACACCUGCAUGGUCAUCCACGAAGCCCUCUCAUUGAAGUUCACCCAACGCAGCAUCAGCAAAGUAUCUGAGGUGAUCGUGUCAGGUGAGUUUUGCAGCGAGGACAGAGACGAGGAGCUGGACGGCCUCUGGUCCACCAUCUCGGUCUCCAUCACCCUCUUCCUCUUGAGCGUGUGCUACAGUGCCACCGUGACUAUGUUCAAGGUGAAGUGGCUUUUCUCUGCCAUGGGGGAGCUGAAUCAGGCGAGUGGCCCCGAGUACAAGAACGAGAUCCAGGGCGUGGUGUAG